AACGAACGCUGGCGGCAGGCUUAACACAUGCAAGUCGAACGGGUGCAGCAAUGCAUCAGUGGCAGACGGGUGAGUAACACGUGGGAACCUUCCUAGGGGUACGGAACAACUCAGGGAAACUUGAGCUAAUACCGUAUACGUCCGUGAGGAGAAAGAUUUAUCGCCCUUAGACGGGCCCGCGUCGGAUUAGCUAGUUGGUGGGGUAACGGCCUACCAAGGCGACGAUCCGUAGCUGAUCUUAGAGGAUGAUCAGCCACACUGGGACUGAGACACGGCCCAGACUCCUACGGGAGGCAGCAGUGGGGAAUCUUGGACAAUGGGCGCAAGCCUGAUCCAGCCAUGCCGCGUGAGUGAAGAAGGUCUUCGGAUUGUAAAGCUCUUUUGCCAGGGACGAUAAUGGCGGUACCUGGAGAAUAAGCCCCGGCAAACUUCGUGCCAGCCGCCGCAGUAA
rnacentral:rRNA from 1 species